UAGGGAAUCUUCCGCAAUGGACGCAAGUCUGACGGAGCAACGCCGCGUGAGUGAAGAAGGAUUUCGGUUCGUAAAACUCUGUUGUUAGAGAAGAACAGCGCAUAGAGUAACUGUUAUGCGUGUGACGGUACCAUAAGAAAAAGCCCCGGCUAACUACGUGCCAGCAGCCGCGGUAAUACGUAGGGGGCUAGCGUUGUCCGGAAUCACUGGGCGUAAAGGGUUCGCAGGCGGAAAUGCAAGUCAGGUGUAAAAGGCAGUAGCUUAACUACUGUAAGCAUUUGAAACUGCAUAUCUUGAGAAGAGUAGAGGUAAGUGGAAUUUUUAGUGUAGCGGUGAAAUGCGUAGAUAUUAAAAAGAAUACCGGUGGCGAAGGCGACUUACUGGGCUCAUUCUGACGCUGAGGAACGAAAGCGUGGGUAGCAAACAGG
rnacentral:rRNA from 1 species